rfam:Candidatus Magasanikbacteria bacterium RIFCSPHIGHO2_02_FTLL_47_14 rifcsphigho2_02_scaffold_4061, whole genome shotgun sequence.
ACAAUAAAUUAAUUGUUACCACAGACAGUAGCUUGCCGACCUAGUCGGCAUUAAACACGCUACCGAGGUACAGUAUAGAAAGGUCGUUGUGCCUUUUGUGUCUGUGGUAAUUCCACAGUUUUUGUUUUUUAUG